rnacentral:rRNA from 1 species
AUUGAACGCUGGCGGCAGGCCUAACACAUGCAAGUCGAACGAGUGGCGGACGGGUGAGUAAUGUCUGGGAAACUGCCCGAUGGAGGGGGAUAACUACUGGAAACGGUAGCUAAUACCGCGUACCAUCGGAUGUGCCCAGAUGGGAGUAGCUUGUAGGUGAGGUAACGGCUCACCUAGGCGACGAUCCCUAGCUGGUCUGAGAGGAUGACCAGCGAGCUGGGAACUGAGAAACGGUCCAGAAUCCUACGGGAGGCAGCAUUGGGGUAUAUGGCGCAAGGUGAGGAAGUCUGAGGCAGCCAUGGCGCGUUUAUGAAGAAGGCCUUCGGGUUGUAAAGUACUUGCAGCGUCGAGGCGUUACCCGCAGAAGAAGCACCGUCUAACUCCUUGCCAGCAGCUGCGUCAGUAC